rnacentral:lncRNA from 1 species
UUGGGCAGUGGACUGGCUCAGGGGGACAUGGUAGAGUUGCUCACGACCUGGUCCUCACCUUUGCAGGGUCCAGGAGGGCUGGCUCAUGCCAACCCAGCUCAUGAGGCCGACGAAGGCAGCAGACCCAUCAGAAGCCAAAGAUGGGAACAUUCCUGGCACAUCAGCAGAUGGGAUGAAGCCCAGAGAGGCCAAGUGACUCGUCCAAGGCGAGUCUGUAAGUUAGAAGGAGGGCCUGGGUGUCCUCAGGGCCCUGCCUCGCCAGCCAGCUUCUGCUCCUGGGCUCUUGCUGAACAAUGACCAUGACUAGAAUGCGGCAUCCUUCUCUCACCAAGGGCAACGUGUUCCCGGCCCCUGCUCUCUGCCAAUCCUAUUCCCUGCCAGGGUGGCAGAGGCAGCCCCGAGCACCCAUGGCUCCGGAAUACCACAGACGGUGGCACCUGGCCCUGCAUUCCUGCUGUGGCUUCAGCUUCGGCUGGAGCUGGACAGACGAAGCUGGACCCAGGCCCCACACCUCACUAGGCACUAGCCAGACCCAGGCCCUAUGCCUCACUAGGCACAGGGGUCCCCACGGCCGCCUCCUUCUGAGUGGGGGUUGAGCUGGUGCCCCCCACCCACGGCAGGGCAGCUACAAGGGAGGAUUGGUGAAGGCCCGAAUGCAGGGCACAGAGUGGAAGCGCCUCCGGAAUUCUUGCUGCUGUUGGGAGUUCGGAGAAUUUUAUCCACAUGCAGCACUGACUCCAGGCUGGAGAGGGCUGUGACCAGGCGUGCUCUGCCACUGGCCAGGGGUUACCUAGGUGGAGCUCAGUCAGGUGACUUGUGGAGCUCAGGCCCGUGAGCUUGUGAGCUGGGGAGCGGGGGUCUCCAGGCUGGGCCAGCUCGGGGGUGGCUCCGCAGGGGAGGAGACCUGGUGCCCUGCUGGGCGAGGGUCAGUCUGGGCCUGGGUGGUUCCGCCAGGAGGGUCAUGCACCUGGCCCUGGGGGUGCCUGUCAGAAGGCCUGGCCCUUCCAGCUUCUCACCCGCCCCAGGGCUGUGCAGGCCCCACUCCCUGGCUUCUCAAGGAGGGUUGCCAGACUUAGCACAAAGAUAAGAUACUGCACGGGACAUAUGUCAGCUGCAAAAUUGCUUCUCGUUGAUCUGAAAUUCAAGUGUAACUGGGUGCCCUGUAUUGUAUCUGGCAUUCCUAUCUGGCAAUAAGGCCUCUGGUCCUGGGUACCGGGAGCCUGGCCUCAGCUUUUGUGUGCCGUUUGGCCCACCACAAGUCAGGGGCUCCUCUGGGCCUCAGCAUCCUCCUCUGUCAUCAAAUGCCGCCCAGGACAGAAAGCUUUUCUCGAAAGCAGGCCCAGCUGGAACCCGC